UUUCAUUCCUCUUUCAUGCAGGACCACAGAAUGUUCCUUUACCUUUCCUGUUGCUAUCUCAGGUCUUAUUCUUCAUGCUGCGCUACUCCAAGUUUAGCAUGGAAUUCUCUAGGGGAAACCAGCUUUUGUAUGUCGUGAGGAUAUUCAGACAUCGAUGUGGAGAGCUUCACAAGGCCUAUAAUUAAAGCGUGCCCAACAGUCUGUGGAACAACCAUGCGAUCCUCUGACCUUCAGAUGACCACAGCCCCUGCUGGUAGCUUGACCAUAAGUUCAUGAGAGACCUUGAACCCUGGCUGAGCUGCUCCUGGAUUGCUGACUCUUAGAAACUAUGUGGUAUGUUCAGUGUUUGUGUUUUAAGCUGCUAAAUUUUGGGAUAGUUUGUUACACAGCAACAGACAACAAACAUACCAUUGUUUCAUUUUAAAAAUGCUUACUUAGGCGGAGCACAGUGGCUCACGCCUAUAAUCCCAGCACUUUGGGAGGCCGAGGCACGUGGAUCAUGAGGUCAGGAGUUUGAGACCAGCCUGGCCAAUAUGGUGAAACCCCGUCUCUACUAAAAAUACAAAAAAAAAAUGAGUGGUGCGUGGUGAUGGACGCCUGUAAUCCCAGUUACUCGGGAGGCUAAGGCAGGAGAAUUGCUUGAAACCAGAAGGUGGAGGUUGCAGUGAGCCGAGAUCACGCCAUUGCACUGCAGCCUGGGCAACAAGAGUGGACUCUGUUUCAAAAUAAAUAAAUAAAUAAAUACAGUUAAAAAGAAAUAAAAUGCUUACUUAGUUACAAAUACAUACAGAACUCUUAAAAUUGUUACUUUUGGUGGGGCGUGGAGGCUCACGCCUGUAAUCCCGGCACUUUUGGAGGCCGAGGUGGGCAAAUUACAUGAGGCCAGGAGUUUGAGACCAGCUUGGCCAACAUGGUGAAACCCAUCUCUACUAAAAAUACUGGGUGUGGUGGUGCACGUUUGUAAUCUCAGCUACUCAGGAGGCUGAGGCACAAGAACUUCUUGAACCUGAAAGGUGGAGGUUACAGGGAGCUGAGAUGGUUCCACUGCACUCCAGCCUGGGUGACAAAGAAAGACUCUGUCUCAAAACAAACAAACAAACAAACAAAAACAGCUGAAAAAUGCAAUAUUUAAUGUGCAGAGCAGAGCAGUUCAACUGGUGCACAGAAUCAGUGAAGGGGAAUAUUGGGGAGUAAGAUUGAGAAAGGUAAAUUGAUGUCCUUUUAUUCUUGGCCCUUAGUGCUGGGACGAGCAACCAGUGAGCCAAGCACCAGGUGGUUGUUAAUUGUCUAAAUCAAGAUCCAAACCAGGUCCACAGAUUACAUUUAGUUCUUUGCCUUUUAAAUCCAUUUUAAUGUAGGUUCUUCCCCUCUCCAACCUUCACAUAUUU
rnacentral:lncRNA from 10 species